rnacentral:lncRNA from 1 species
UGGGCUGCUUGGGGACCCAGGGAGCUCCCAAGGUCUUUCCUGCUGCUUCCUCUACCCCUGUAUUUCGUUCGGCUGUCUAGACUGACUCAGCUUCAGGCCCUCUGUGCAUGCCAUGCUUAAUAAGGUAAUAAAAAGGUAAGAUUAUAAAGAAGGAAGAGGCCUAUCAAGGAAAGAAGGCUCUUUAUUUGCUUUGCUGUCAUGGUAUCCUUCCCAUUCCACUGGCUUCCAGCACAUAUGUGAUGGAGUCUUGUUCUGUCACCAGGCUGGAGUGCAGUGGUGCGAUCUCAGCUCACUACAACCUCCACCUCCUGGGUUCAAGUGAAUCCCCUGCCUCAGCCUCCCUAGUAGCUGGGACUACAGGCACACACCACCACACCUGGCUAAUUUUUUGUAUUUUUUAGUAGAGACGGGGUUUCACCAUGUUGGCCAGGAUGGUCUCAAUCUCUUGACCUCAUGAUCUGCCCACCCCACCCUCCCAAAGUUCUGGGAUUACAGGCCUGAGCCACUGCACCUGGCUGCUAGUUCUUAAGAGGGAGGUAUGAGACGUAUGUAUAGACUAAGUGAAAGGAAAAUAUCUUGGGCCCCCAAAAUCACUAAGCUAAAAGGAAAAUUCAAGCUGGAAACUGCUCAGAGCAAACCUGCUUCCCAUUCUAUUCAAAGUCAUCCCUCUGCUCACUGAGGUAAAUGCAUAUUCUGAUUGGCUCCUUUGUAAAAGCUAAUUAGAAACUCAAAAGAAUGCAACUAUUUGUCUCUCACCUACUUGUGACCUGGAAGACCCCUCCCUGCUUCAAGUUCUCCCCACCUUUUUGGACAAAACCAGUGUACUUCUUACUGUAUUGAUUAAUGUCUUGUGUCUCCCUAAAGUGUAUAAAACCAAGUUGUGCCCUGACCACCUUGGGCACAGGUCAUCAGGACUUCCUGAGGCUGUGUCAUGG